UCCCGCUUAUCACGGGCAGUUUCCUUAGAGUUCUCAACUGAAUGUUAGCAACUAAGGACGAGGGUUGCGCUCGUUGCGGGACUUAACCCAACAUCUCACGACACGAGCUGACGACAGCCAUGCAGCACCUGUGUUCCAGCCACCCUAGGUGAAGGAAUCCAUCUCUGGAAUCCAAACUGGACAUGUCAAGGCCUGGUAAGGUUCUUCGCGUUGCCUCGAAUUAAACCACAUGCUCCACCGCUUGUGCGGGUCCCCGUCAAUUUCUUUGAGUUUUAACCUUGCGGCCGUACUCCCCAGGCGGAAUGUUUAACGCGUUAGCUACGUCACUGAGAUCGAAGACCCCAACAACUAACAUUCAUCGUUUACAGCGUGGACUAC
rnacentral:misc_RNA from 1 species